rnacentral:rRNA from 1 species
AUGGAGGGUCUUCUGCAUUGGGACUUUGCCCCUGGCCUUGCCCUUGCGGAUCAGGUGAGGAGAAAAUUUGGUUCUACGGUUCAUUUCUCUCCCUCCCGUGACGCCAAAGAAUUCUUUUUGGUGGUCACGUUUUCAUCGGCCUCCUUUCCUCUCAUGAUUGAUUCUGUUGGGGUUGCCCUCCAAUGUUGUCUU